GACGAACGCUGGCGGCGUGCCUAAUACAUGCAAGUAGAACGCUGAAGAGAGGAGCUUGCUCUUCUUGGAUGAGUUGCGAACGGGUGAGUAACGCGUAGGUAACCUGCCUUGUAGCGGGGGAUAACUAUUGGAAACGAUAGCUAAUACCGCAUAACAAUGGAUGACACAUGUCAUUUAUUUGAAAGGGGCAAUUGCUCCACUACAAGAUGGACCUGCGUUGUAUUAGCUAGUAGGUGAGGUAACGGCUCACCUAGGCGACGAUACAUAGCCGACCUGAGAGGGGGAUCGGCCACACUGGGACUGAGACACAGCCCAGACGCCUACGGGAGGCAGCAGUAGGGAAUCUUCGGCAAUGGGGGCAACCCUGACCGAGCAACGCCGCGGGAGUGAAGAAGGUUUUCGGAUCGGAAAGCUCUGUUGUAAGUCAAGAACGAGUGUGAGAGUGGAAAGUUCACACUGUGACGGUAGCUUACCAGAAAGGGACGGCUAACUACGUG
rnacentral:rRNA from 1 species